UGAGGAAUAUUGGUCAAUGGACGGAAGUCUGAACCAGCCAAGUAGCGUGCAGGAUGACGGCCCUAUGGGUUGUAAACUGCUUUUGUAUGGGGAUAAAGUUAGGGACGUGUCCCUAUUUGCAGGUACCAUACGAAUAAGGACCGGCUAAUUCCGUGCCAGCAGCCGCGGUAAUACGGAAGGUCCAGGCGUUAUCCGGAUUUAUUGGGUUUAAAGGGAGUGUAGGCGGUCUGUUAAGCGUGUUGUGAAAUUUAGGUGCUCAACAUCUACCUUGCAGCGCGAACUGGCGGACUUGAGUGCACGCAACGUAUGCGGAAUUCAUGGUGUAGCGGUGAAAUGCUUAGAUAUCAUGACGAACUCCGAUUGCGAAGGCAGCGUACGGGAGUGUUACUGACGCUUAAGCUCGAAGGUGCGGGUAUCGAACAGGAUUAGAUACCCUGGUAGUCCGCACGGUAAACGAUGGAUGCCCGCUGUUAGCGCCUGGCGUUAGCGGCUAAGCGAAAGCAUUAAGCAUCCCACCUGGGGAGUACGCCGGCAACGGUG
rnacentral:rRNA from 1 species